CAGGCCGUUUAGUGAAACGUGCAGGUGAGGGUUCCGACCUUCCCCGGGGACUCAGGAGGGAGAAGCUGUGGCCAGGAGUGCACCGAAAGUCCUGUCAGAGGAUUAGGAGCCCGGCUGAGCCUCCCAGCCUGGCUGAGACGGGGGAGAGGGUCAGGGAAGGGAGGAAGCCAAGUGCUGUGGCGAGACUCCUCCACGGUGGGGAAGUGGGGCAGGGCUGUGGACCAGCCUUGCUCAGGUGGGGUUUUGCCAGCCUGACUGACGUCGCUCCAGCACACUGUGACAUACCCCUUUUGAGGGGCUACGUAUAGUGGUGCUGGGUCUCUUCCACAUGCCCCUCCAUCGCUUUGCUCCUUGCUUCUCCGCUCUGCUCGGUGCCUCAGGAGGCCACCCUGUGUGGACCACGUCCGCUGGUCUCCUCGCCCUCUGUCAGCUCAGCCUGCCGGAACGACGCACCAGAGGCCAGGGGUUUAACGGACAGAAGUCUGCUCUCACAGUCUUGAAGCUUCGGCAGGGUUGGCUUCUUCUGAGGCCUGUCAUCUCCCGAAAAGCAGUGUCACAUGGUCUUCCUUCUGGACAUGUCUGUGUCCGAAUUUCCUCUUUGUAUAAGGACACCAGUCGUAUUAGGUUAGGGCUCACCCUGAUGACCUGACUUUAACGUCAGAGGCUACGUGAAGUCGUGAAGGAGCAGAUGUGUUUGAGUAGCAAAGGUCUGGCCUGAAAGGCAGCUCCUGCACACGGCACGGCAUUGUGGCGGACAGGCCCCUUUCUCUCUCCCAUCCUUUCGUGUCCGUAAUUGUAAAAUGGAAUGGAAGCCUCAAACAUUUUGUUAUGAGGGAUUGAUUAAGUUACAUUAAAUGAG
rnacentral:lncRNA from 1 species